rnacentral:lncRNA from 1 species
AGUCAGUGGAGGUCAAACUGUUCAGAGAUCAAACUGUUCAGAUCCAUCAUGGAUGAAACACAAACUUCUGGAGAUGAAGAUUUGUUUCCAGCACACAGGUACUUUGAGAAACACAUUAAACAAACUAUUAUGAUAUAGAAGAGAUGGCUGUCUACAUGAUACAUAAAUAAAUGUGACCGGAGCAGUAUUUUUCUUUAGUAUAAUUAAGUCCAGAUAGCACUGACUGACUACGCCACCUUGGGAAUUGCACCCAAGGGAAUAUGAAAGGAACCCAGGUUCGGUGGUGCAGUGAAAAGACAGAGUCGCUUCAUCCAAUAAACAAAUGAAUUUUAUUUAAAAGGAAAAAUGUCCUAUGAACAUCAUUUAAUCAGUGUAAAUUACAGCAAGUUUAUUAGGACAAACGUACAUUUUUGUGAAACUACAAUACAAACAGAAAAUGUACAUUAAGUAUCAAGUAUGAAUAAAAGUAAAUAGUAAGAAAGACAACAAUAGUCUUCUUUGAAAAUGUACAGCAAAUGGUAAAGACAACACAAAAAUAAAUAAAUAAAUAAAUAAAAGGAAAUAGAAACUAGCAAGGCUAAAGCUUACUUUAGGGUGGCAAGCUAGCUGGAAACAAUUGUGCUCUCAACCACUUAUGUGUGCACGGCAAACAAAAUAGGAAGAGGUGCUCAAACCCUGGUGCUCCAAACUCACAGCAAAUGUGUGCACCCAGGUGACUAGCUUCCCCCUCGGCGCACUCAGCCUUGACUCGAACCCAAAAAACAAAAAGAAAAAUUAGUAAGUUAGGUGAAAUACAAAAUCGUCACGAUCACAUCAGGCACAAAUAUAAUGAUUACACACUGCUAAAUAAUGACACCACACAGCCACUACAGCCCAAAACACACUGGUCAAACCGUUUCCAAAUAAAAACCAAACCAUAAAAAAUAAAACACACAGAACAUAGAGACUACUGAAAUUAUGAAAUCCCAAGAAAAUAAUCCGUCCACGAAAGACAAAAAAAAGAAAACUAUUCAUGAAAAAAAAACAGCAGCACGACCUGAGUUAACCAUCAUGUGGUACGCAGGCGACUGCAAAACAAAACAUAAACCAAACCAGAAUCUACUCCAAUCAGGGGAUACGAAACAUUCACUAAAUCAUACGUACCACACGAAAAAUCACACAUCACAAUAUCUGGAUGUACUCGCGAAUGUUCUGCUAAAACACACAAAAACCCACACCACAACUCAUUGCGAUUGCCGGCAUACCUGAAAGCUUCCAAUAAGUGCUUGACGCAACUCCCAGGGCACGCUGCCAAGACGGUUACAGCAAUCACUUCAAAAGACAAAGACACAUACCCUAAACACUUUAAAACCACAUGACGCCGUGCAUAACCUCCGUCACUUACCGAGACUGCAAUAACAUCGGACGAGGGGUGGGUAUGACAAAGCCUACAUUCUGGGGCUUCCAGUCUACACGCUUAAAUACACCUGCCCUAAUCACCUCAUCCACCCAUUCCCAUAUAAGGGUAACGACUGCAGAAAAAAGGAAAAUCCCCUACUGCAACAUAAAUAAAGCUUAAUAUUUAUUGAAAACAAUAACACCAUAAAGCCCUCAUGGCUGCUUUUAAUGAGUAGGCUAAUACUUUAUGAAGAUUUUAUAUUAUGAUUUGACAACACUUUAUAAUAGAUUCAUUAAUAAAUCAUUAACAAACGUUAUAUAAUGUUUAACGGAUCAUUAGUUAUUAUAUAUUCACACAGCUAGAAACAUGAAAUAAUCUGCUUGUUAGUGUUUACUACACUAAUGAUCAGGUAAUUAAUGUAAAUUACAAUGCUUACAAAUGUCAUUAAACUUUUAAUUCAUAAGAUCAUGCACGUCUUGAAAAUCUUCAAAUGAUUUUAACAGAUGGUAUAGAAUGAUUAAAAGCUUGUGUUAAUGCACAACACUUCUGCUGUUAUUGAGUUGUGAUACGGGUGAAGGUUAGGGACAGGUUUGGUGUGUGGGUCGGUUUAAGGGUUGGUUAAGGGGUCAAAAGUGUACGGUUAUAUUACAAUGUUUUGAUAAAUAAACAAGUAUUUGUGAUGAAUAAUGAGAGGAUGCAAGAUGCAAGUUAACAAGUUUAAUAAUAAUGAGGGUCAGAGUAAAGACACAGGCCGGGGACAAGAAGCAGGGACGAGAUGGCGAUCCGGUGGUGGUGCGGUGAAGAGCGUGAAGAGAAACCCAGGAACCGUGGAACAUCCAGACGACACGAGGAACUGACGAAAUCCAACGGAGAACUGGGCUUGACGAGACACAAGAACAGGACGUACACCAGGGAACAACCACAACGAUCUGACAACAUGAGAGGGAAUUUACUGACAAAUAAAGGGAGGUGAAAUCAACGACAGCUGGUGACACUAAUCAAGACAAUGAGUAACCACACCCACACAAUUACACUCACACAGACACCUCAGUGUGAGACAGCCGAUUCAUGAACCGUGACAGUAUUUUCUUGAAAAAAUUAUGUUUUCUCUUGCUGAUGUAUGAUUCAGUGAAAUUCAGUUCACAUAUUAAUGCUAUUUUCUACAUUUACAGAUUUUGUGAAAAAAAGAUCUUAAUCAGUAAAUUUAAGCUAAAUUUUUUCACAAAAUUUGUAAUUUCCAUGAUAUUUGUUAGUAUUGAAUUACUUAACAAAUAAGGUUGUCAUCAUUGUAUGACAACAUGAGAGGGAAUUUACUGACAAAUAAAGGGAGGUGAAAUCAACGACAGCUGGUGACACUAAUCAAGACAAUGAGUAACCACACCCACACAAUUACACUCACACAGACACCUCAGUGUGAGACAGCCGAUUCAUGAACCGUGACAGUAUUUUCUUGAAAAAAUUAUGUUUUCUCUUGCUGAUGUAUGAUUCAGUGAAAUUCAGUUCACAUAUUAAUGCUAUUUUCUACAUUUACAGAUUUUGUGAAAAAAAGAUCUUAAUCAGUAAAUUUAAGCAAAUUUUUUUCACAAAAUUUGUAAUUUCCAUGAUAUUUGUUAGUAUUGAAUUACUUAACAAAUAAGGUUGUCAUCAUUGUAUAAUUUCUGUUAAAAUUAUUUGUAGAUUUUAAAAAGUGCAUUAUAGUAUAAAUUAAAUAUUUAAUGAAAUUUGUAAGCAUUAAUUCAAGAUCAGUUAAGCAUUAUAUAAUGUUUGUUAAUGAUCUAUUAAUGAAGCUUUAAAUCAUUGUAAACCAUCUGUCAAAAUCAUUCAAAGUUCAAACCAUUUGAUCAUUUGAAAGUUUAAUGACAUUUGUAAACAUUUUAAUUUACAUUAAAUAAUGAUCUGUAAUUUUUAUUAAGUACGUUUUUAAACACUAACAAGCACAUUAUCUAAUAUUUCUCGCAAUAUGAAGAUAUAUUAACUAAUGAUCUGUUAAGCAU